UCCGACAAGCAUAUCUAGAGUCCACUCUGGAUUACCUGUCUGAGCAUUCUGCAUGGCAAUUUUCCCGCUAAGCUCACACCAUUCAGAAAUCCAUAACAGGGAAACAGAGGAGGAGAGGAUCUGAGCAAGAGCAGAGGUGGAGGACACAAAGAUAGGAGUGUGGACCUCAGGGGAACGUGAAGCAAGUGUGAUUGGGGUACACUGUAUGAAAUUCCCAAAUGAUUAAUAAAAAUAUUAUGCUUGGGAGAAGAAGUUUCUUUUCACAGCAGAAAGCAACUACUACCAAAAACAAAAACAAAUAACUAGUCAAAAUGUGGAGAACAACUGACUACAAGCUGCCUAGCUCCAACUGAUACUCCUACAGCAUAACAUCUACACCUAAGGAUCACAGAACAUUAUG